UUGCUGAACCUCAUCAGGUUCCUCUCCACCCAACUCUCCAGCCUGUCCAGGUCUCACGGUGCAUUCUAUCCCUCUAUCCACGUCACUGAUGAAGAUGUUGAACAAAACCAGGCCAGUACCGACCCCUGGGGAACACCUCUAGCUACAGGCCUCCAACUAGUUGUGCCACUGAUUACAGCGCUCUGAGCUCUGCCAGUCAGCCAGUUCUCAAUCAUCCUCACUGUCCACACAUCUAUCCCACACUUCCUAAGCUUACCUAUGAGGAUGUUUUGGAAGACAGCGUCCAAAGGCUCGCUGAAGUCAAGGUACACAACAUCCACCGCUCUCCCCUCAUCUACUCAGCUGGUCAUGACAGUCACUAGGUGAAGGCACUGCAGAUGAAUAAAGGCAAAAUUAUACAGCUAUAAAAUGACCAUAUUUAACAUGCAAACUUUCCAGCUUAAAAAAAAAACAAAACCAAAAAACACUAGCAAUCCCAUCCCAUCAAACUUUGUGGCUGUGAGGGUGGAAGUUGUAUGUUCUGAUAAUUCCCUGGUUACAUGUCAUUGCACCUUUUCUAAUUUCCUCACCUGACUCUGCAUCUUCUCAUGUUCACCUGACACAACCAGAGGACAUCAUGCAACUGAUAUAACAAGGUGCCCAGCAUUUGCAGUGCUGAGCAGCAUCAUGAAUGCUCAUGAAAUACUUUCCUUCUCAUAACAAAAGCAGAAUUUUUUUUCCCUUUCUUCACCAACUUUAUCAAAUACAGGGAUUUACACACCCUGCUGGGUGCAGAGUUAAAUAUCAGUGGUUUCAAUAGGUGUCAAUGGGAGAACAGCCUCCUUCUCUUUGAUGCUGCAAGGUCUGUAUGUCCAUCCCUCUUAUCUCAGCCAAGCAGCUGGGCCACAAAUCAGGAGCGAAGCUGGGCAAGGGGACCUGUGACAGAGCUGUGAGGGAGGAUGGGGAGCCGGCAGUGCUCAGGCCCUGGCAACAGAGAGCUAUGGCAGAUAUCAGGCCUCUGGUGCGGCAUCGCUGGGUAGGAAGGGGCAGCACCAGCAUCCAUGGGGAACAUCCCUUCCCACAGUGCAGGCAGCCCCCUGGCUUGGCAUGGAGCACCUGGGAGGUAAGUGUGGGGCUUGGGUUGGCAGCAAGCAAUUCGGAUAGGAUGUUGGGGGCUUCUCACUCUUUUUGCUAUCUGAGACAGAGUUUUGUGCUCAUACUGUGGCUCACCCUGCCUUAAGCAGUAUGGGUUUUGUUUUUCCUCAGAUUGGGAAGGGUGCAUAAGGGGGGCUGGACUGCUGAGAUCUGGCUGCACUCCAAGAAUAGGUGCGAGCGGUGUCCGUUGGUUCACACAGUAUCCUUGUGGAGUUCUUUGGGGCAGGUUUGCACCGAAGCCUUGAAGAGUUCUUCCCUAAUACUGUUAGGCCAGUGCCUUGAGCCCAGUUUAUAAUAUUUUUCUUCAAGAGGACUGCUGGAAAAUGAGGUGAUAUUAACUUGGGACUCAACCAGGGCCUUUCCUGCCAGAUUAAAUGGAUGCUGGAAGCAGCUCUGAAUCAAAGGUUGCUUUGACUUUCUGCAGUUGUGUGAGGCUUUCUGCAUUUCUCUUUGGGGAAUAGGCUCAGGAGGCGCUAUACCUCAUAUGAGUAUUUGCUGUAGCCAGUCGCCAGCUCCUUUCUCUCCUCACAUUUCCUGUUUUGCAGCUGCUGGCUGUACUGGCGGCCAGCCUGCUGCUGCUCUGCAUCCCGCUGUGCUACCAGGCCUUCCAUUUCCGUGUGGCGCAGGCCUAUGCAUGCCUUGGGUACCCCCAUGCCCAGCACAUCGUGGGGCAGAGGUAUCUGCAAGGUGCUGGAGUGGAAAAAAAUGAGAAGCUGGCCAUGCACUGGUUCAGGCAGGCAGCAGGACAGGGCCACCCGCACUCCUCCUUCAACCUGGCGCUGGGAGCUCUCAGCAACAUGACAGCGGUGCUGGAGGAAGGGUAACCCAGCUGCUCCUGCCCCUUCCCACUGCAGAUGAGGAUCUGGUUCCUCCUGAGGGGAAGUCUUGUGCUGUAGGCAUCCCAUGGAUGUGGCUGCAUAGGCAUUUUUGAGGUCGCACUGCUGUGUUGUCAGUCAUGCAGCUCUGCUUGUAGAAAGCAGACUACAAGCCAUUGUGUUGGCCACCAGUGCCCUGUUAGCCUCAAAGAGGCUUGGACACUCUCUCCAGCAUUCCUCUGUGCCCUGCAAAUUUGUGCCCAACCAGAGGGACAGCCAGAGGCCGCUGUCUGCAUGGUCACUGUGAUGGCUCAUCCGGGAGCCACUCCUAGUUGAAGCAAAAGUGACCGAUGAGUUUCCAUCACAGUGCUACUCAGUUUUCUUUUUAAAAUUGUUUUACUCGGAGUUUUUUUUUACUCCAAGCUCCAAACUAUAAAAGCAAAACCCUGUGAGCUGAAGCCAUCAUGUUUCAUUUUGAUCCCCUGUUGCAUGUUGAUCAGACAGACUCAUGUAUUUUGUUGUACAACAGAUAUGUAUUUCAAGAGUUCCAGAUCUUCUGGCUUCAGUUCAGUCAGGUCAGGAAAAUCACCAAUCCUCAGGCAUACAUGCUCAGAUCACAGUGAAAAGCAAAAUGAAAACCAGAUAAUUUUCUGAAUAUUAGACCUUUGAACUUCACAGAAUCUUUCAGAUCCAGUUGUGUGGUCUUCUAAUAGAAGCCCAGGUAAAUAAAAGUCAGAUAGGAACAACCCAAAACUCCUCCUAGAUUUUCUUGAUGAAGAUUUCAUUUCCUUCAGGGAAGUGGAGAAACUCGUUGGUGUGGCUGCAGCCCAUGGGCUCCAAGAAGCUCAGGAACUUUUGGAGAGCAUCCUCAAGAGCAGAAAGCUGGCCUGAACACCUGCACCAGCCUUGCCUUCUUCAGCUUUAUUGCAAGCUAAUUACUAGCUGGUGAUCACACCUCACAACAACUCAUCUGCUGAUAUUAAGUUAGAUUUGGAUACUGACCUGGGAUUGAUGCUGUGGUUGUGCUGUGUCUAUUUCACGCUCUGCUUAUUUGUAGCAACAAGUGAUCAUGACUGAAGCUUUGUUGUCAUUAAUCAUCAGCAUAACGUGCAUGAGUGAUAUCAUCUGUAAUAUACAUAACAGUGGUUCGGUAAAAUGUAUUAUGGUUAAGAUAAAUAAAAUCUUCACGUAACAGCUGCCAUUCCUUAAAAACUUCAC